UGUGCAGUUAACGCAAUCAUCACAGGGUC
rnacentral:piRNA from 1 species